UUCCGUGUGUUACACAAUGGA
rnacentral:piRNA from 1 species